rnacentral:rRNA from 1 species
AAGAAAGUAAUAAAGGGCGUAUGGGGGAUGCCUAGGCUCUUGGAGGCGACGAAAGACGUGGUAAGCUGCGAUAAGCCUCGGGGAUUUGCAAACGAGAAUUGAU